rnacentral:rRNA from 1 species
AACGGGUGAGUAACACGUGAGUAACCUGCCCUUGACUUCGGGAUAACUCCGGGAAACCGGGGCUAAUACCGGAUAUGAGCCGUCCUCGCAUGGGGGUGGUUGGAAAGUUUUUCGGUCAGGGAUGGGCUCGCGGCCUAUCAGCUUGUUGGUGGGGUGAUGGCCUACCAAGGCGACGACGGGUAGCCGGCCUGAGAGGGCGACCGGCCACACUGGGACUGAGACACGGCCCAGACUCCUACGGGAGGCAGCAGUGGGGAAUAUUGCACAAUGGGCGAAAGCCUGAUGCAGCGACGCCGCGUGAGGGAUGACGGCCUUCGGGUUGUAAACCUCUUUCAGCAGGGAAGAAGCGCAAGUGACGGUACCUGCAGAAGAAGCGCCGGCUAACUACGUGCCAGCAGCCGCGGUAAUACGUAGGGCGCAAGCGUUGUCCGGAAUUAUUGGGCGUAAAGAGCUCGUAGGCGGUUUGUCGCGUCUGGUGUGAAAACUCGAGGCUCAACCUCGAGCUUGCAUCGGGUACGGGCAGACUAGAGUGCGGUAGGGGAGACUGGAAUUCCUGGUGUAGCGGUGGAAUGCGCAGAUAUCAGGAGGAACACCGAUGGCGAAGGCAGGUCUCUGGGCCGCAACUGACGCUGAGGAGCGAAAGCAUGGGGAGCGAACAGGAUU